ensembl:lncRNA
AGAAUGGAAAGUUAACCCUACAGAGUACACGUCUGCAGGGCAGGAAGGCCAGGCUGCAUCCAGGUGCCCAAGCAGCACCAGAGUGUUUUCCAAUGAGUCAGCUCUUCACAUCAGGAGGCCAAAGUAUUGGAACUUCAGCUUCAACAUCCCUUAAGGAGGAACCAAAGUUGUGCCAGCGCAGGUUCAUCUCUCCAGGCAUUCUUUUCCCAUCAGAGGAAACUUGAAGAUGCUCAGGACCACACCAAGUGGUGGUCGGUGCAGGAGGUCAGCGUGGUGACACCAACUGGAGGCUCUCUCCUGGGUGAUUUCCUGAAAUCAGCUCCCCACGGCACAGGCCCCCAUCUAUUGUCACCAAAGCUAGCUUGUCCCAGCUCCAUAUUUUUAUCUUCUCUUGCUUUUGAUAAAACGAAUGUAUAUCCUUUCCCAAGAGA